GCAAUCGAAGUGAUAUUACAUCUCUCAAGAAAUAAAAGCCAAGGAAAAAGUAUUGACUGCAAGAUGGAGAGAACAGUAAAAUUUGAAACAUGCUAAUUUCCUGCCAAAUUUCAGGAAUCCGUUUCUGAUUUUUAACGGGCAUGACAAAACUGAAAUUGGUGAGAUCAAAGUCUCAUAGGAGUUUAGAAGCGGACAGAAAUUCGUACUCCUCUUAUCAAGUGAUGCUGUUGGGAAGAGUGGCUUCCCUACAUUUUUGAGGUACCGCUGCUCUGGGAGAACUCAGGUGGCUUCACAGUGCUGACCUUGGAAUUCAUGGCAGACACUGUUCUCUGUAAAGAAGAGUCUUAUGUCUUGGAAGCCAGGAUUCCACAGAUGUCCAAAAGCUUUCUCACCUUUUUUUCCCUGGCACUGGGCACACAGGAAUCGGCUUGCUAGAAUUUAGAGGCUGAGAAGUCCCAAGACCUGCAGGGUCUCUUGUUUUCUACAUCAACUUUACACAUAAGGGACAGCUUUAAAAGAAAAGCAAAUUCAAGAUGGAUUUAUUCAAGAAGAGGCAGGUAGGUGCCCAAGUCAUUUACAGACUGCUGG
rnacentral:lncRNA from 1 species